rnacentral:rRNA from 9 species
ACACUGGCGGAAUUGACGACAUCCGCAGCUCAGCAUGCCCCCAAUGUUCUGAGCACCGUCAGGAGGUUCGCAGGCUGCAAGAUGAGGCGCGGACAUUGGAUGCCCAUUGCAAG